rnacentral:rRNA from 1 species
UACGAAGGGGGCUAGCGUUGUUCGGAAUUACUGGGCGUAAAGCGCGUGUAGGCGGGUCUUUAAGUCAGGGGUGAAAUGCCAGGGCUCAACCUUGGAACUGCCUUUGAUACUGGAGACCUUGAGUCCGGGAGAGGUGAGUGGAACUGCGAGUGUAGAGGUGAAAUUCGUAGAUAUUCGCAAGAACACCAGUGGCGAAGGCGGCUCACUGGCCCGAUACUGACGCUGAGGUGCGAAAGCGUGGGGAGCAAACAGG